rnacentral:rRNA from 1 species
CACGGGGGGAGCAAGCGUUGUUCGGAAUCACUGGGCGUAAAGGGCGUGUAGGCGGUCAGGUAAGUGAGAUGUGAAAUGCCCCGGCUCACCCGGGGACCGGCAUCUCAUACUGCUUGGCUUGAGUACGGGAGAGGAUGUGGGAAUUCCUGGUGUAGCGGUGAAAUGCGUAGAUAUCAGGAGGAACACCGGUGGCGAAGGCGGUUCUCUGGGCAUGAUCUGACGCUGAGGAGCGAAAGUGUGGGGAGCGAACAGG